UGUUUUUUUAAAAAAAAAAAAAAACAAAAAAAAAACAAAGAUUUUUGCAACUUGGUCACAUUGUUCUUUGACAUACAAAGAAAGCAUUCCCUAACACAACAGAGUACCUCAGAA